AGCGAACGCUGGCGGCAUGCCUAACACAUGCAAGUCUGACGGGCGGGGCUUACGGGCUCUGUCAGUGGCGGACGGGUGAGGAGCGCGUAGGAACGUAUCCAAGGGGUGGGGACGAACCGCGGGAAACGUGCGGCUAAUACCGCAUGGGGCCGUCUGGGGAGGACCUGCAAGGGGAGGACCUGGGGGCCGAAAGGUCGAGUGAUCGAUCGCCGAUGGAGCGGCCUGCGUCCGAUUAGCAGUUGGUGGGGUGAUGGCUUACCAAGGCGGCGAUCGGUAGCUGGUCUGAGAGGAUGAUCAGCCACACUGGGACUGAGACACGGCCCAGACUCCUACGGGAGGCAGCAGUGGGGAGUAUUGGACAAUGGGCGAAAGCCUGAUCCAGCAAUGCCGCGUGGGUGAAGAAGGUCUUCGGAUUGUAAAGCCCCUUUCGGGCGGGGACGAUGAUGACGGUACCCGCAGAAGAA
rnacentral:rRNA from 1 species